AUGGGACAAGACUCGUGGCGUUCUGGGGGACAGGCGAAGGAGGUCCUGGGACACUGGCAGGACACCAGCCACUGCCUUGGGCCUGCGCUGGGACGCUCGGGGUGGUCACUGGAGACCAACGUGGGGCCGAGUGGUAAAUAUUCGAGCGAACUCACCGAAAAUCUUCUCCAGCAGACGGGCAUCCACAUGAAGCACGGAUGGCUUGAGAAAGUGCUUAAACCUACACCAGUACCGUUGAGUGUGGACAAGGAGCCGUGCGAUCGGUGCAGGGUCUUCAUCACGAAGGGCGCCAUUGCCGUACCCUGGACGGAAUCCGCAGGAAGAGACACCCCACGUGGCCGGGAGGCGGGACGAAACUGCUCGCCGUCAGCCCACCGGCCUGAUUGGUCCCUUCCAGGCCCCGCCCCCUCCAGGAGCCCUUGCUCAUUGGCUCCCUCAAAUCCGGGCAGGCCGGCGGGGUCCCAGCAGCGCCUAGCGCCUACCUCGGGCGGGCGGCUUGCUGUUGGCGCGGUCUCGGAGGGAGGAGCCCGGAUUGAGCGCGGGCCCUCGAAGAGUUCCCUCGUUUCCCUGGUAAUAAGUGCUACAAAACAGUGGGAUGAUAGAAGGCACGUUGCUCACCAACAUUAGGUGGAGUUCAGAGAGAUUCAUGUUCCCCAGCACUGGACGUACCUGUGUGAGGAUCGCUUCUGUAGUGCCAACCCGCUCGUGUGACUGAAAUUGUGGCCUCAGUACCUUAUAACAUCCCCGUGAGGAAGAUACAGUUGUUUUUUUCUUCCAUUUUUUACAUAGGAAGUGUAAGUGAUGGGACUGGGACAAAAAUGCAUACAUUAUAUAGUGACCGUAGAUUCCAAACAGAAUUUAGACUCCUUUAUCCUUCAUCAGGUUGCUAAUCCUUGAGGAAAGGACAACUUAAAAACCGUGGUUCUGACUGAACAGGGCCCAUCUCCCUCCCAGGUACUUUGAAGAGAAUUCUGUUUUAUUCAGAAGUUAUUUAUUUGGUUGGAUUUCAUUUCUAACAAUACAGAUAUCGAAUUAUUACGUCAUACGCCUGAAACUAAUAUGUUGAACAUCAAUUACAUCUCAAUAUAAAAUAACAGUCCCAGAGGCGACUGGGUGGCUUGUAGGUAGGUUAAGUGUCUGCCUUUGGCUCAGGACGUGAUCCCGCAGUCCUGGGAUCAGGAGCACGGUGCCUGCAUCUGGCUCUGCUCUCAGCCGGGAGCCUGCUUCUCCCUCUGCCCCUCCCCACUCAUGCUCUCUCUCAAAUAAAUAAAUAAAACUUUUUCAAAAAAUGAUGUCUCCAGAUGCCUUUCAAGGUUAUAUGCUAGAGUGUGAGGUCCUUCAAUUGCAGGAAACAUCUGUGGGUUCCAAGGUUCUGCAAAGUGCCCUUACAGGACAGAAUCAAUAAAUAUCUAUUGAAUAACCAACAAAAUCAAAAUGUACAGUGAAAUACAUGCAACUUUUGUCAACUAUGCUUCAAUAAAGCUGCAGCGGAAACCCCAUGAUAUGUAAAUUUAAAUGGGAAAGAAAAUAUUGCCAAUAACAGUUAAGUCCAAGGAUAUCAGAUCAGUGCUCAGAUUCAGUUUCUGUGUAUUCCUCUCCUCCCACUUCAUAUCAUGUUGGCUUUAUCUUCAGGCUGGUGGCAAGAUGCUCAUAGCACUUUUCCAAAUCGUAUACAGUCCCAACCACCAGAAGAGGAGGGGCAAAAUCUUUUUUGUGACCCUUCUCAGAAGUGAGAAAACCUAUCCUGGAAGCCUCCUUAGGCUUUGCCUCAUUUCAAAAUUAGGUCACGUGCCAUAUUCUAAGUGGGUCACUGGUAAGGGAAAUGAGAUUAUCAUGCUUAGUCUGAACAUACGGAGUUCAACUGAUAUUAGGAGCUGCUCGCAGCAUCACUAUGAGAUUCUUUUUCUAUAUUUUGAAGUCAUCUGGGAGUCGAAAAUGUUUCUAUUGUCCUCCAUUGAUUGGCAGAGCGAUAGAGAUACUGAAUAAGAAAUGAACUUACCUGUAAGUCAAUCGGAGAAGGACAAAUAUAUGGUCUCAUUCAUUUGGGGAAUAUAAAAAAUAGUGAAAGGGAAUAAGGGGGAAAGGAGAGAAAAUGAGUGGGAAAUAUCAGUGAGGGUGACAGAACAUGAGAGACAUCUAACUCUGGGAAACAAACGGGGUGGUGGAAGGGGAGGGGGGCGGGGGGAUGGGGUGACUGGGUGACAGGCACUGAGGGGGCACUUGACGGGAUGAACACUGGGUGUUAUGCUAUAUGUUGGCAAAUCGAACUCCAAUAAAAAAAUAUACAAAAAGAAAGAAAGAAAGAAAGAAAGAAAGAAAGAAAGAAAGAAAGAAAGAAAGAAAGAAAGAAAGAAAGAAAGAAAUGGACUUCCCUGAAUGAUUUGGGAACCUGAGAAGUCAUGUUAAAUGAAACCUAUAAAUUGGAAGCUGUUUCUUAUAGAUUUUCUAUUUGCCCAAGUAUGAGGAACCUCCAGAACGCAAUGUGGUAGAAAAAAAUAUUUCUUUUGAACGCAUGUUUGUUAACAUAUUUUCUUAUUUUUAAAAACUCUUCAUGGGGAUCCCUGGGUGGCUCAGCGGUUUAGCUUCUGCUUUCAGCCCAGGGCGUGAUCCUGGGUCCCGGGAUCGAGUUCCACAUCCAGCUCCCUGCAUGGAGCCUGCUUCUCCCUCUGCCUGUGUCUCUGCCUCACUCUCUCUCUCUCUCUCUGUGUCUCUCAUGAAUAAAUAAAUCAAAUCUUAAAAAAAAAAAAAAAAAAACUCUGCAAUCAGAACAUUGACACUUCUGGCUUCAGAUAUGGCUAUCUUGCUGUGAGUCCACAUCUAUCAGGAGACAGGCAAACCCAGGAGCAUUAGGGAUCGUGUCCUUCUUGUUAGGCAUACUCAUAUUAAAUAAAAGUGACCACUUCUUGUUAUACUUGCGACUUUUUUUUACUGCAUAAAGAUUGAGCAUUAUUGGCAUUGGAUAAUCAACUGCACAGUGUCUGACUCCUGUUUCUGGUUGUAUCCUGGUAACUUGGAUAAUAUUUGUGUAAUAUUGCAUGAACAUAUUAAAGUUUUUUUUUCAAAAUGAUAUUUCUACAUUGAGUCUGAUCUUUUUUAAUCCUCACCACGACAGUGAAGCAGUUGUUUUAUUUCACCAAAGGGUGACAUUUGGGAAAGUGAAUAUCAACAUGUGUACCAAGUUAACUAGAAGGUUAAUUUUCUCGAAGUAGAAACUGAAGCCUCCUGAUAACACUGGCAUCAGUGUUUUGUAAAAUCUUUUGCCCUCCCUUCCCCAAUAAAGGCCAUACCAGGGAACCUCAGGAAAGCAAUAAUCUAUUUUUAAAGAAACCCCUCAAAGCUCAGGCAGGAACACAUCAUUAACACUGGUGCAACACCAAGUAGGCUCACAGGACAGAAGCAAACAGGAGAAGUCAGAGGUUUGGGACUUAAAAGCAACAGCAAACACUUGAAAUUGGUUUGGAUUGUUGGAUUUUUUUUUUUAAGACUUUAUUCAUGAGACACACACACACGCACACACACACACACACGCACGCACACACACGCACGCACACACGCACACACAGAGAGGCAGAGACACAGGCAGAGGGAGAAGCAGGCUCCAUGCAGGGAGCCCGACGUAGGACUCGAUCCCAGGUCUCCAGGAUCCCCCGGCGCUAAACCGCUGGGCCUCCCGGGCUGCACGAUUGUUGGAUUUUUGUUCCAUUUGAGGGAAUCAAGUGAGAGUUAAGUCUCUUGCAAGGAGAUCACGUCAAACUUGAGGCUUCCCCUCCGAAGGCGGUGGCGAGCCGUGGUUCCCGUAACGACCCGACUUUCCUCAGAGGUUGUGUUCUAGCUUCUUUCUCUCCCCCACGCCUUUGCUCUGAGAAGAGGCUACCCCUCCAGGAGGAGCAGGAACCCCUGUGCGCGCUUAAGACGGGAGAAGGGGUGCAGCCCGGGGGGCCGGGGAGGGGGGGCUUAGCGGUGCAGCGCGGCCUUCAGCCCGGGGCGUGAUCCUGGAGACCCGGGAUCGAGUCCCACGUCGGGCUCCCUGCGGGGAGCCUGCUUCUCCCUCUGCCUGGGUCUCUGCCUCUGUGUGUGUGUGUCUCAUGAAUAAAUAAAUAAAAUCUUUUUUUUUUAAAUAAAUAAAAUCUUAAAAAAAAAAUACGGGAGAAGGGUGCAAGAGGUGGAGGCGGGGGAGGGGAGCUCGGGCUCGGGCACCCAGACAGAGGCGAAGAGGAAGGAAGGAGCCAGAAGACGCGGGACUCCCGGACGUUUGCGUCUGCGGCGCUGCGCAGCCUUGUGCGGGGGAUUCGCAACAGGCCGCUGCCCCCCGCCCCAGGUUUCCUCCAGCUAAGGAAAUAAACACAGGAAACCUCAUUUCUAGCGGAGUGGGGGUGGCUAAGCAGGAGCUCACACCCUGGAAGCACCUUGCAGCCCACGGAAAGGCAGCGAGUAGGAAGAGAGUGGCUCUUUUCCAGGUUGGCACAGUGCACCCCAAGUGCG
rnacentral:lncRNA from 1 species